GCAGAGGUGGCCGAGUUGGUCUAAGGCGCUGGAUUAAGGCUCCAGUCUCGUAAGGGGCGCGGGUUCGAAUCCCGUCCUCUGUA
rfam:Emiliania huxleyi CCMP1516 EMIHTscaffold_48_Cont1956, whole genome shotgun sequence.